AAAUGUAGGGAACAAUCCUUUGCCUAAACAUGAUAGUUCAAGUGUCAAUGCUAUAGAAAGUUCAACUGAUGAUGGAUUGAUAAAGGAUGUGUUCAAGUUGAAGACUCUUUUAACAGUGGUACAUGCUAGAUUGAUGGAAGCAGAAUUGAUGAAUGGAGUACAUGAUAGUUGUGUGGUGUGUUCGUCCAACCCUGAUCAGUGUGGUGAAUUCAAAAUUUAUCUUCAACGUUUGAUGGAUCAGCGGGUUAAAUGGAGUACAUGAUAGUUGUGUGGUGUGUUCGUCCAACCCUGAUCAGUGUGGUGAAUUCAAAAUUUAUCUUCAACGUUUGAUGGAUCAGCGGGUUAUUCAGUUCACUAGAGCAAA
rnacentral:lncRNA from 1 species